UUGAAUCGUCUUUAAUAAUGAAAAUAAACUAAACAGGUAAAAGACAUCGCACCAGCAGAAUCAUCAUUUGGCUAUAAAACAAAAAAACAGCACAUUAAUUUGGUCACGAAAAGUCUCGGAGUUUGGAUCCAGUGAUGUAACUCAGGGAUAUGGAUGUAAAAGCAUUCAGAUAAAUUAAGACGUUCACAUUUUGUUCACCAAAUUCCUAUGACGGAUGAAUACUCGCACAACCAAACAUGUUACUCAAGCGUGCUAAAAUCAUGCGGCGGGUUAACAGCGAUGCAAUGUCAGCGACAACAAUCAGGUCUUAUUCUAAGGAUUAUGUUUGUGUUUACGAGGCUAAAUGUGAUGAGAAUCGAUCUCCACUAUGUUCCCCACAUCGAAGUGACCCCCAAGUUUAAUCUUCCAUGCUAACGUGAAAAAAGCCUGUACCUUGCUGAAUACAAAAAGACGUAUACGACAUGUAUGAUGCAAAAAAUAAAAUAAAAUUUGACAUUAAAUACAGCGCUCAAAAAAAUAAUCUAUUUUAAAGAAAAAAAUGAUAGAAAAUUAUAUCUACAUCUGUAUAUAUAUAUAUAAAAAACAAAAGAUUGUAAUAAUAAGUUAGAUUUUUUUCAAUAUGGAAACCCAAAUUAGUUUUUUUUACAUCUGCAAAAGUGACAGAGGAUUGCCUAUCAACAAGUUUUUGUUACAUAUCUAAAUACAUAGACAUGAGUCAAACAGCACAGAUCCUUUAAAAAAAACCAACACUUUGCUACCGAGACAUGUUGACGGAUCUCGGAUUUCUAAUGCCGUUUGACCCAGGCUUGUUGAAAUGUCACAAGGGUUGGGAAAACCCUGCACAGUAGCAGCGAGCGGACAGCAAGCCCCGAUCACAGUUUAGAGGACGGGGAACCGAGAGCAGCAGGCUGAAACACGGAGUUUAGAACUGCAUAUUAUCCACCUGGAGGCGUGGAAUGGUUUGGCAUGUUCACAUCCAUCCACCACAGUACGGUAAAGUAGGGAUAGACCGAUUAUCGUGACCGAUAUUUGGUGUUUUUCCUGAUCAUCUGUAUUUUUACUGGCCGACCAUUAAUGAAUUAAAUGCUCUACUUCAGGUCUGAUGAAGCCUCAUCUCUAUGUCUGUUUCACUCUGUGGUCUCAGAAAUGUCUGAACAAGAAACACAAACCAGGAAAUUAGCUUCUCCCACAGUGGCUACGCUAACCGUCAGAUAUGAACCUUAGUGGGAAAUAAAAGUGAUAUAACAGUGUAGGAAAAUAGUGAACAACAGCAGCCAUGAAGUUGAUAUCUGUGGUUUUAAAAAGAGUUUAAGGCCGAUAUUUGACUUUAUUUUUCAAUUAUUCCCUCUAAGCUCGGGCUAAUUCUGUCGCUAACAGGUCUCCUGUUCCUCUUAGCCUGUCUGGAGCACCAAAACAUCUUCCUGAAGUAAGAUUAACUUUACCAAUCUGCUCUGCUUCUCUGACAGUGACUAAGACUAUGCUAAUGGCUAGCGGCUAAGUUAGAAGAUAGCCACAGAUUAACCUGAAACAGAAUCUGGAAAACAAUGAUUAAUUUAAGAUCUGGACCUUAGUGGACAAUAAAAGUGAUAAACAUUGAAAGAAAAUGAAGGACAGAAGCUGCAAGGUUGAUAUUUGUGGUUUUACGCAGAGAUCGAGGCUGAUAUUUGAAUUCUUUUCGAUUAUUGCUAUCUAAGCCCAGGCUACGGCUAUCCAUAACAGGUUCCUCUUAGCCUGUCUGGAGCAUCCUCACACCUUCCUAAAGUAAGAUGAACAAUCUGCUCUAAAUGACAGACACAUUUCUUUAGUGGAGGUACAAAUCAGGAAAUUAGCUUUUCUGACAGUGGCUAAGACUAUGCUAACAGCUAGCGGCUGAAUUAGAAGGCAGCCACAGAUUAACCUGAAACAGAAUCUGGAAAACAAUAAUUAAUUUAAGAUCUGGACCUUAGUGGACAAAAAAGGGAUAAAACUGUGAAAUAUUCAGAAAGUGGAGAAGAACUGUAGGAGAAAAACUCAUUAAUCUCAGUUGAUCCCACAUAAACAGAGAGCGUCCUAAUUUAAUCACUCCUAUUUCUGUUAUAGUCGCCCUAAUUAAUGAAGAAGCCUAAUUGAGUUCUCUGCUGUCAAAUGCUGUUAAAACAUUACAUUUAACGUAUAUUGUUUCCAAAUAUCAGCUAUCGGUCUUUCUUGAUCACCAGUAAUCAGCUCUAAAAGUAUUGGCCCCAUAACAUUUUUUUUAAAAACACAUCAGUCGAUCCCUACUGUAAUGAGCUCAGUUUUGCUCUCCAGGGGUUUUAGUGUUCUGCGAGACCAUCCAGUUCUUUCUAAGGGCCACUCAGAUCAAUGCAAAGUCAGAUGAGGUAAAAAAAUGUUUUAAAAAGGGAAGGGGAACACAUCGCCCUUCGUUUGCUCCCUCUGCAGUGGCCCUUAUUCAAACCUGGGAGCGUCUGAAUGCUGAGUCCGAAUGCUCUGCCUCUCCACCUCCUGAGUGCACUCUGACAGUCAUGGACAUUUUCCCUGAUGGUGGAAUCAGUGAAAGAGCGGAUGAGGUACACUUGAAAUGUAAAAGCAGAGGAUGAGGACACAGGUUAAGGCACCUUCUGAGUCACCUGAUGAAACUGAGGCACGUUCUGGGACGGUUUUUAAAUUUCCCAGAACGCGUCCACAGCGGGGUUUUUUAUGUGAAUGAGUCCAGCUCUCUCCCGUCGUUCCCCACCUAUCGCCUCGUCUUGUGCCCGAAAGGAAGAACAGCAUCUACUGAUUACAGCGAGAGGCCGAGUCUGCAGUGUGCUGUGCUUUCCGGCCUGCACAUUUACAAUCAUACACAGACAAGAAUAGUUUCGCCAUUUGAGGAAAUUUUGCGCAUCUGUGAAUCUAUAUUUGUAUGCCGAGGCUAACAGGAGAUGGUGUAGCUUAGCAUUAACCCUCGUGUCAUCCUGUUUUAAAGUUUGAAAAUGUGGUGAAAAAAAAAAUAAAAUUCACAGACUUCUGAUGUCCACAUUUUCAACAUUUUUGAGAAAUCUUUGAACAUUUUUUGGUGGAAA
ensembl:lncRNA